rnacentral:rRNA from 1 species
GACGAACCGUGCGAACGUUAUUCGGAAUCACUGGGCUUAAAGCGCGUGUAGGCGGGCGGGCGCGUCGGCCGCUGAAAUCCCCCGGCUCAACCGGGGAAGGGGCGGCGAGACGGCCGGCCUGGAGGGACGUAGGGGGGGCUGGAACUUCCGGUGGAGCGGUGAAAUGCGUUGAGAUCGGAAGGAACGCCCGUGGCGAAAGCGAGCCCCUGGACGUCUACUGACGCUGAGACGCGAAAGCCAGGGGAGCGAACGGG